AACGAACGCUGGCGGCAUGCCUAACACAUGCAAGUCGAACGAGACCUUCGGGUCUAGUGGCGCACGGGUGCGUAACGCGUGGGAACCUGCCCUUAGGUUCGGAAGAACUCGCCGAAAGGGGUGCUAAUACCGGAGAAUGUCUUCGGACCAAAGAUUUAUCGCCUUUGGAUGGGCCCGCGUUGGAUUAGCUAGUUGGUAGGGUAAAAGCCUACCAAGGCGACGAGCGAUAGCUGGUCUGAGAGGCUGAUCCGCCACACUGGGACGGAGACACGGCCCAGACUCCUACGGGAGGCGGCAGUGGGGGAUCUUGCACUGUGGGCGAUAGCAUGAUCGUGCUCUGCCGCGUGAGUGCUGAAGGCCUUAGGGUUGUACAGCUCUUUUACCCGGGAUGAUAAUGACAGUACCGAGAGAAUAAGCUCCGGCUAACUCCGUG
rnacentral:rRNA from 1 species